AUUGAACGCUGGCGGCAUGCUUUACACAUGCAAGUCGAACGGUAACAGGCCGCAAGGUGCUGACGAGUGGCGAACGGGUGAGUAAUGCAUCGGAACGUGCCCAGUCGUGGGGGAUAACUACUCGAAAGAGUAGCUAAUACCGCAUACGAUCUAUGGAUGAAAGCGGGGGACCGUAAGGCCUCGCGCGAUUGGAGCGGCCGAUGUCAGAUUAGGUAGUUGGUGGGGUAAAGGCUCACCAAGCCAACGAUCUGUAGCUGGUCUGAGACGACGACCAGCCACACUGGGACUGAGACACCGCCCAGACUCCUACGGGAGGCAGCAGUGUGUAAUUUUGGACAAUGGUCGCAAGCCUUAUCCAGCAAUGCCGCGUGCAGUAAGAAGGCCUUCGGGUUGUAAACUGCUUUUGUACGGAACGAAACGGCUCUGGUUAAUACCCGGGGCUAAUGACGGUACCGUAAGAAUAAGCACCGGCUAACUACGUG
rnacentral:rRNA from 1 species